UCGUAUGGCGACGCGGAGGGACAUUACCGAGUUUACAACUCCCAAACCCAAUGUGAACCAUACCAAACUGUUGCCUCGGCGGGGUCACGCCCCGGGUGCGUCGCAGCCCCGGAACCAGGCGCCCGCCGGAGGGACCAACCAAACUCUUUUCUGUAGUCCCCUCGCGGACGUUAUUUCUUACAGCUCUGAGCAAAAAUUCAAAAUGAAUCAAAACUUUCAACAACGGAUCUCUUGGUUCUGGCAUCGAUGAAGAACGCAGCGAAAUGCGAUAAGUAAUGUGAAUUGCAGAAUUCAGUGAAUCAUCGAAUCUUUGAACGCACAUUGCGCCCGCCAGUAUUCUGGCGGGCAUGCCUGUCCGAGCGUCAUUUCAACCCUCGAACCCCUCCGGGGGGUCGGCGUUGGGGACCUCGGGAGCCCCUAAGACGGGAUCCCGGCCCCGAAAUACAGUGGCGGUCUCGCCGCAGCCUCUCCUGCGCAGUAGUUUGCACAACUCGCACCGGGAGCGCGGCGCGUCCACGUCCGUAAAACACCCAACUUCUGAAAUGUUGACCUCGGAUCAGGUAGGAAUACCCGCUGAACUUAAGCAUAUCAA
rnacentral:rRNA from 1 species